GACGAACGCUGGCGGCGUGCUUAACACAUGCAAGUCGAACGGUGAAGCGCCUUCCUUUUGGUGGGUGUGGAUGAGUGGCGAACGGGUGAGUAACACGUGAGUAACCUGCCCCCUUCUUCUGGAUAACCGCAUGAAAGUGUGGCUAAUACGGGAUAUUCUGGGUCUGUCGCAUGAUGGGUCUGGGAAAGAUAUUGUUUCGGUGGGGGAUGGGCUCGCGGCCUAUCAGCUUGUUGGUGGGGUGAUGGCCUACCAAGGCGGUGACGGGUAGCCGGCCUGAGAGGGUGGACGGUCACACUGGGACUGAGACACGGCCGAGACUCGUACGGGAGGCAGCAGUGGGGAAUAUUGCACAAUGGGCGCAAGCCUGAUGCAGCGACGCCGCGUGAGGGAUGGAGGCCUUCGGGUUGUGAACCUCUUUCGCCAGUGAAGCAGGCCUGCCUCGUUUGUGGGUGGGUUGACGGUAGCUGGAUAAGAAGCGCCGGCUAACUACGUG
rnacentral:rRNA from 1 species